UUGGGCCUGGAUAACGAGCAAGAUAAGGUUGCAUCCCGUUUGGAGGGACGGGGAAUAUAUAUAGAAUAAAUUCUGUUCCACAAUAACCUGUUGGGUGACUGUUCCAGACAUCUAAUGGAGCAGCGGUGGCAUUUACAAGAAUUCUCUACUGAGGGUGUCAGCCAUCAUUUCAAUCUCAGCUGAGAGCUUGUCAGGUCAAAAGGAUCUACCGUGGCAGACUUCCCUCCAUUGACACACUUGUUCGGAACCCAAGGGAGAAAGUGUGGAUUCCAAACAAACAACAAACCAUUUACACAAAGCAAUCCAUACACAAGAAUUGCUCAAUUCCUUGACGCACGUCAAAGAGGGCAUUUUCCGAACGCCGCUACAGGGACUCAUCUCCGAACUACAGUAAAGCAGACAAAUCCGGAGUGUGAAGUAUUUGUGAAUGGAAAAUGCUUUAGCACGCUUGGCAGGGAGGAUCGUUCCACUGCUUAUCAGACAGACUAUUACAAUUCUUCCUCUCUGCACAAGCAGACACACAACAGUAGGAGGAGGACGGAAGAAAACAAGGAGGAUAUGCUCUUUUGACCUGCUUCUCAAGGUCGCUGUUGAAGAGAUUCAGCAUGGUACAUGCUAGGUAUAUGCAUAGUGUUUGAAGAAAUCCAUGCAUCUGUAAACUAGGGCUGGGAUACAUGUGCCCAUGACAUUCGCCGGGUGUUCCCCUGCGUUAUCGCUGGAGCCUUCCCUCACAUAAUGAAUUAUGCCAUGCUGAUAAAGCAGACAGCUGUGUUGGGGGGGCGAGCGGGGGGUUGCAUACA
rnacentral:lncRNA from 1 species